UGGGGAAUAUUGGACAAUGGGCGAAAGCCUGAUCCAGCAAUGCCGCGUGUGUGAUGAAGGCCUUCGGGUCGUAAAGCACUUUCAGUUGGGAAGAGGGCUUGUUAGUUAAUACCUGACAAGUUGACGUUACCAUCAAAAGAAGCACCGGCUAACUCUGUGCCAGCAGCCGCGGUAAGACAGAGGGUGCGAGCGUUAAUCGGAAUUACUGGGCGUAAAGGGCACGUAGGUUGGUAUUUAAGUCAGAUGUGAAAGCCUCGAGCUCAACUUGAGAACUGCAUUUGAUACUGGAUACCUAGAGUUUGGUAGAGGGAAGUGGAAUUUCCGAUGUAGCGGUGAUAUGCAUAGAUAUCGGAAGGAACACCAGUGGCGAAGGCGGCUUCCUGGACCAAUACUGACACUGAGGUGCGAAAGCGUGGGUAGCAAACAGG
rnacentral:rRNA from 1 species